rnacentral:lncRNA from 1 species
ACAUAAUUAGCUACUUUAGCUCCAAAAUGACAUAAUUAGCUUAGUUAGGUAAAAAAACAUCACAAGAACCUUUGUUAGCUCAUAACUUAGUGUAUCUUCCUCCUAAAUGACAUAAUAAGCUCAAAAUAAGAAAAAUAUUGUAAUCAUCCUCUUCCUCUUAUUCUCCUUCUUCGUCUUCUCCUCCUCCUCCUCCUCCUUCUCCUUCUUCUUCUCCUUCUUCUUCUCCUCCUCCUCCUCCUUCUUCUUCUUCUUCUUCUUCUCCUCCUCCUCCUCCUUCUUCUUCUCCUUCUAAUCUUUAUUCUCCUCUUUCUUCUUCUCCUUAGCCUAUUUUUCCAACAAAAACAUACUUAGCUAAUUAUCUUCCAAAAUGACAUAAUUAGCUAAUUUAGCUCCAAAAUGACAUAAUUAGCUAUUUUAGCUCCAAAAUGACAUAAUUAGC